rnacentral:rRNA from 1 species
GACAGAGGUGCCGAGCGUUAGGCGGAAUCACUGGGCUUAAAGCGUGUGUAGGCGGACGCCUAAGUGUCUUGUGAAAUCCCACGGCUCACCCGUGGAACUGCUGGGCAUACUGGGCGUCUUGGGCCAGCUAGGGGCAGCCGGAACAAGCGGUGGAGCGGUGAAAUGCGUAGAUAUCGCUUGGAACGCCGAAGGUGAAAACAGGCUGCUGGGGUUGCGCCGACGCUGAGACACGAAAGCCAGGGGAGCAAACGGG